AUGAGUGAAAUACUGAAAACCUGCGUGUUUUUUUUUCCCUCCCCCCCGUUGCAGUUUUGUAAACAUCAACAAAUGAUGAAACCUUCCACGGCAGAGACUCUUCACAAGGGAAGGAUGUUGUGGAUAAUUCUUCUAAGCACAAUUGCUCUAGCAUGGACUACACCAAUUCCUUUGAUAGAGGACUCGGAGGAACUCGAUGAGCCCUGCUUUGAUCCAUGUUACUGUGAAGUGAAGGAGAGCCUUUUCCAUAUACAUUGCGACAACAAAGGAUUUAUAAAUAUUAGUCAGAUAACAGAGUCAUGGUCAAGACCUUUUAAACUUUAUCUGCAGAGGAAUUCCAUGAGGAAAUUGUACACCAACAGCUUUCUUCACUUGAACAACGCUGUGUCCAUUAACCUUGGGAACAAUGCACUGCAGGACAUUCAGACCGGCGCUUUUAAUGGGCUCCGAGUCCUGAAGAGGUUGUAUUUGCACGAAAACAAAUUGGACAUUUUCCGAAACGACACUUUCCUGGGUUUGGAAAGUCUGGAAUAUCUGCAGGCAGAUUACAAUGUCAUUAAGCGGAUUGAAAGCGGGGCAUUUCGAAACCUAAGUAAAUUGAGGGUCCUUAUCCUAAAUGACAAUCUUAUCCCCAUGCUUCCCACCAACCUAUUUAAAUCUGUGUCCUUAACCCAUUUGGACUUGCGCGGGAACAGGUUAAAAGUCCUUCCCUACCGAGGGAUGCUGGACCAUAUUGGCCGGAGCCUGAUGGAGAUCCAGCUGGAGGAGAACCCUUGGAACUGCACCUGCGAGAUCGUGCAGCUGAAGAGCUGGCUGGAGCGCAUCCCCUACACCGCCCUGGUGGGGGACAUCACCUGCGAGACCCCCUUCCACUUCCACGGCAAGGACCUGAGGGAGAUCAAGAGAAGCAAGCUCUGCCCCAUGCUGUCUGACUCCGAGGUGGAAGCCAGCCUGGGGAUCCCUCAGCUGCCGUCCAGCAAGGAGAACGCGUGGCCCACGAAGCCUUCCUCCAUGCUGUCCUCCUUCCAUUUCACCGCCUCCUCUGUUGAGUACAAAACCUCCAACAAGCAGCCCAAACCCACCAAGCAGCCCAGGGCGCCCAGGCCUCCCCCGACGUCCCGCGGCCUGUAUCCCGGGCCGAACCAACCUCCCAUCGCCGCCUACCAGACCAGGCCCCCCAUCCCCAUCAUCUGCCCUACCGGGUGCUCUUGCAGUUUGCACAUCAACGACCUGGGCCUGACGGUCAACUGCAAGGAGCGGGGCUUUCACAACAUCUCCGAGCUCCUGCCCAGGCCCUUGAACGCCAAGAAGCUGUACCUGAGCGGGAAUUUGAUACAGAAAAUCUACCGCUCCGAUUUCUGGAAUUUUUCCUCUUUGGAUCUCUUACACCUGGGGAACAACCGGAUCUCCUACGUGCAGGACGGGGCUUUUAUUAACCUGCCCAAUCUCAAGAGCCUGUACCUGAACGGCAACGACAUCGAGCGGCUCACCCCGGGCAUGUUCCGGGGCCUGCAGAGUCUGCAUUACCUGUACUUCGAGUACAACCUGAUCAGGGAAAUCCAGCCGGCGGCCUUCAGCCUCAUGCCCAACCUGAAGCUGCUCUUCCUCAACGACAACCUGCUCCGCACCUUGCCCACCGACGCCUUCGCCGGCACCUCGCUGGCGCGGCUCAACCUGCGCAACAACCACUUCCUGGCGCUGCCGGUGGCCGGGGUGCUGGAGCACCUGCACGCCAUCGUGCAGAUCGACCUGAAGCUCAACCCCUGGGACUGCACCUGCGACCUGGUGCCGCUGAAGCAGUGGCUGGAGGCGCUGAGCUCGGUGAGCGUGGUGGGCGAGGUGCUGUGCGCCAGCCCCGAGCGCCUGGCGCGCCGCGACCUCCGCGGCCUGGAGCUGGCGGCCCUGUGCCCGGCCGCGCUGCGCCCCGCCGCCGCCGCCGCCGCCGCCUCGCCGCCCGCCGCCCCGCCGCCGCCCGCCGCCACCGGCGCCGCCGCCUACGAGCUGCCGCCGCCGGCCGCGCGGGUGCCGCUCUCGGUGCUCAUCCUCGGCCUGCUCGUGCUCUUCUUCGCCGCCGUCUGCGCCGCCGCCGCGCUCUUCGCCUUCGUGCUGCGCCGCCGCCGCCGCAAGCGGCCGCUGCGCGGGCCGCGCCCGGAGGGCCCCGAGCUGGGCGGCGUGGCGCUGCGCUGCCGCCGGCUCUUCGAGGAGGGCGGCGGCGGCGGCGGCGGCGGGGAGCGCUCCCCCGAGAAGGCGCCGCCGGCCGGCCACGUCUACGACUACAUCCCGCACCCGGUGACCCAGAUGUGCAACAACCCCAUCUACAAGCCGCGCGAGGAGGAGGAGGAGGCGGCGGCGGCGGCGGCGGGCGGCGGCGCCGAGGAGGCGGCCGAGCUGCUGCGCGGCGGCGGCGGCGGCGGCGGCGGCCCCCGCUUCGCCGCCGCCGCGGGGCAGGAGCCGGGCUCGCACUACCGCACCUUGCUGGAGAAGGAGCAGGAGUGGAGCCUGGCCGUGUCCAGCUCGCAGCUCAACACCAUCGUCACCGGCAACCCCGCGGGCGGCGCGCCGGGGCCCGCGGCGGCGGCGGCGGCGGCGGCGGCGGCGGCGGCGGGGGGGGCCCCGCGGGACCGCGACCGCCCGCCGCCCUGCGCCGUGGGCUUCGUGGACUGCCUGUACGGCACCGUGCCCAAGCUGAAGGAACUGCACGUCCACCCGCCUGGCAUGCAAUACCCGGACCUCCAGCAGGACGCCAGGCUCAAGGAGACCCUUCUCUUCGCCGCCGGCAAGGGCUUCUCAGACCACCAAACCCCCACAAGCGAAUACCUCGAGUUAAGGGCCAAACUCCAAACCAAGCCGGAUUACCUCGAAGUCCUGGAGAAGACCACGUACCGGUUCUGACGGCCCGCGGGCCGCCCGCCCGCCCGGCUCCCCGGCCGCCGAAGUGCCUUCGCAGACUUUUGCCAGCAGAUGUUAAUCAAUCGUUAUUUUUUAUACUGAAACUGAGACUUUGACUGUGCCAUGUCUAAGGAAACUUCCUUUUCCUUGUGCACUGGGAGCUCACUGGAAUCAUUUGGGGAUGGUUCCCUUUGGAGCUGUUCGGAAUAUUUGACUGUUAGGUGCAGCGUGUGUUGCGAUGAGUUCUGGUUUGCUGUCUCGUAGUGCUGGCCUGAGGCUGAGGGGGUGGUAGCAUCACUUUCCGCUGCAGGAAGCAAAAGUGGAUCCAUCAUCCCUGAUCUGUGAUGAGUGACAUGCUUCAACCUGGGCAACACCUAACCGAGAGGGAUUAUUAUUGUUAUCAGCAGUGUUACUGGUAGCAUUAAUAAUACUGGGAGGGAAUUGAAUAAAGUCAAAUGAUCCACAUUCACUUGGCUUUAAUAGGAUGCUAUUUUAAAUAAAUAAAUGGUUUUUAGCUUAUUUCAUGGUUGUAUGUCAAGCAGCUGUUUCAGCACUUCAGCACGUGGUGCUCAUUACCUCAUGGUGCAUCUUUCAUCGUGUGUUUAUUUUUAUUCACUCAUUCACUAUGCCGAAGUUCUUCCUACAGGUGGAAAAGGAAAAAAGGCCAGGUAAGUGCCAGACAUAUCCUAUCGUGACUCGAUAUAGGAAAAUAGAAAGAAUAAUAAUGAUAUUCCAUUAUCAGCGCUCUUUUGUGUUUCCUGGAUAUUGUCAUUGAUGUAAACACUGUAUUUGUAUCUGGUUUAAAAGACUUGACUGAGACUCAGAGAUUGCUUUGUGGAUCUCUUCCCCGUAUUAAGAGUGAAAAAAGAACGCUACUUUUUAUGGUAUGAAUAACAGCUCUCUUAAUGUAAAAUCUGACCUCUGGAAAGUGUUCGGUCUCUGAAAGUCUGUCCCAGUUGCUACAGUUGGUGAAUACUACAGAGGGGUCGUUUAUUAAGUGAUUCAGUAGACUUGAGUUUAGCUGUUAUAGGUCAAGAUUUUGUCAGUGCUUUCCAGAGAAAGAACGUUUUUGUGCAUACCACCACUGCUGAUUUAUUUUCAAGUUAGAAACGUACCGUUAUGGCCAACUUGUGUUCUGUGCUGUAAACACAUAUAGCAACAUGAGAGAAAAGUCUCUACAAAAUGCCGAUGCGUGAGGUUCUGAGUUUCUGAAACACUGAGGUGUGCAAGGAGUAGCUCAGGAGUGCUGCCUUACUUCUGCUUUAUUCACAUGCCUGCUUCAAAUGAAGCUGAGCUGUCCACGUAAGAUAUGAGGCACUGGCCUUAAGUACAGCAGAAAUGUUCAUGUGAACAAGGUGUGCAGAAUUUGGCUGCAAGUUUGGGAAUUCACUGCAUAUCUAUAUUGCUCAAUGGUUAAAUAUCACUUCUGGCAGCUCUCCAGACACUUCCAGUCACGUGUGUGUGAACUUGUUCCAGAAGUGCACUUCUUCCAAGGGCAUUUGCCAGUAUUACAUGGAUUUGUUUGCACUCUUAGAAAUCAGACUGCUGGGCAUUGCCUGUUCC